AAUUCGUACUCUGUGUCCUCCUUUUUGGCUGCCAGUGGAAGAGGUGAAGCCCUGUCCGAUCAAUGCACGCAAGAUUGUGUCAAAUAAAAGAGAUGAGAUGGGUUUUGAGUUGAAGAACAUAUUUACACUUUGAACUAACCACAACACUGGCAGAUUGGAAGCUUAAGACAGGAGCCAGAAUUUCAAAUCUGACCCUGUGAUAUUACCUGAACCUUUGACAGCAGACUGGGCCACUGCAGGCUUCAAACAGCUUGUUGAAGACCACAAAAGUACCCUCCCCAAGAUAACUUCAGAGCAGAUUGAAGCAUAUUUUAUUUUUAGACUUGCAGGUGACAGACAGUGUGUCAGUGGUAUCAAAGCAAUUGUGAAAGGCCGUGCAAUGUACGAAAGUGACAGGAUUUUGGCAUGCUCUGUGAACGACGUACAUGAUGUUUAUUUGACUGGGAUGGUUGCAGCAGCAAUGAAACAGAAAGUUACCUAUAGUUGUAAAAUAAGGAUUGAUAAGAACACUGGUGAUCCCCUCAGCUCGUAUUGUGAAUGCCCAGCUGGAAGAGGCCCUCAUGGCACCUGUAAACAUAUAGCAGCUGUUUGUUUAAUGAUGGAGGAUUUCACACAUAAUGGGAGGAUCAGAGUUGCGAAGUCAGCCCCAGAGAAUCUAAUGUCCUUCAAUAAGCCAAAGUCAUCAUAUAGAGAAGUACAGAAACGAUGGUUCCUUUAAUGACAGAGUGAGAAAUAUUGUAACCAAUUACUGCAGCAGAACAUCAAAAGACCUUUCCAUACAAUAUCUAUAUUCAAGGGCAGAUAUUCAGACAGCUUCGAGGGAUCACUUUUACCGCAGACUUCCACUCACAGAGAACAUGGUUGACAGUGCCUUAAUGGUUGAUGAAAAUCAAGUAAAGUCUAUCGAGGGGACAAGACAAGAAUUCUAGAUAGUUUCAAGAGAGAAUGUGGAGAUUGACAGCCUCAAGAUUUGGUGAAAUUUGUAAAUCUACUUGUCGACGGAAUACAACAAAACUAUGCAACUCUUUACUGAACUCAAAUUUGCAAUCACAGGCAAUUCUUCAUGGAAAGAACUAUGAAAAGAAAGCAUUAAGGCAGUUUGAAACAGGGUACAAUGUUGUUACAAGUGAAUGUGGCCUAUUUGUUUGCAUGGAACACCCAUUUUUAGGAGCAUCUCCAGAUGCCAUAGUUGAUAAAGAUGCUGUUGUAGAAAUAAAGUGUCCAUUUACUGGUAGGAAUGAGAAUGUAAAGCCUGGUCCUAAUUUUAGGUAUCUUAUGUAUGAUGGGAAUGGAAACAUUGUUUUGAAGCAAUCGAGUAAUUAUUUUGAUCAAGUACAGGGUCAGUUGUACAUUGCUAAUCGUAGUUUUUGUUUCUUUGUUGUAUACACAUUUUGUGAUUUGUUAGUACAAAAAAUUUACCUUGACAGAAGUUAUGUAGAGAAUUCUUUGUUACCAAAACUUAAGACUUUCUUUGAAAAAUAUUUCAGACCAUACAUUGCUUCCAGGAUUUAAAACAAUGUAAUGUAAGCAACUGUGGGUUAACUUGGACUUAAUAUGAGUUUCUUAUCUCAACUAUGUUGAAUACUCAAUGCUAUGACUUGUAUAGUUAAAUGAAGGAAAUGUUGUGAAAUUUUUAUUGUGUGAAAUGUGUAUUGAAUGAUUCAUGUCAAGUUAUGCAAUCAGCACCACUUUUUAGCUCACCUGAGCCAAAGGCUCAUUUGUCCGUUGUCUGUCGUCGUAAACUUUUCACAUUUUCGACUUCUUAAGAACCGCUGGGCGAAUUUCAACCAAACUUGCCACAAAGCAUCCUUGGGUGAAGGGCUUUCAAGUUUGUUCAAAUGAAGGGCCAUGUCCCUUUCAAAGGGGAGAUCAUCACAAAAAUAGGGUGAGGUAAUUUAAAAAUCUUCUCAAGAACCACUGGGCCAGAAAAGCUGAAAUUUACAUGAAAGCUUCCCGACAUAGUGCAGAUUCAAGUUUGUUCAAGUCAUGGUCCCCUGGGGUUGGAUGGUGCCACAAUAGGGGAUCAACAUUUUACAUACAAAUAGAUAGGAAAAAUCUUUAAAUAUGAGCCAAGGUGACUCAGGUGAGCUGUGUGGCCCUUGAGCCUCUUGUUCAAGAGAAGCAUGUUUAGGGACUAUCAAUACUGGCCCCCAUUACAAUGUUAGCACUAGUUAAUUAAUUUUCAAAUACACAGAUUUUACCAAACUUAAUUUGUAAAAAAAAAAUUAAAAAAAUCCAAUAGCACAUUUGUAUGUUAAUACCAUUGUUUAUCUACAAUUUUAAAAAAAAAUAUACACCCCACUAGGAUUUUGAUGCUGCAUUUUUUGAGAAUAUAAUUUAAGUUACCACACCUAUCAUUAUUAUGUGUUCAUCUCAACAGACAACCUGGCAUGGUGUUUUGAUAAAUAAAAUAAUUACAACCAUGACA